AUAAAAAUUAGUAUUUUCACGAAUAAUAAGGAUUCACGAAAUUAUAACAAUAUAAUUUUCACGAAUGCCUUUUAGAAUUAGUAUUUGUCACCAAGUACUAUGUAAAAACUUCGUGUCAAUAAGCAUUCACGAAAUUAUAAAGUUUAAUGAGUUGUAUAUGUUUUGUAGAGAGGAAACUUACGGUUUGAUGGUCGCCAAGUCUCUGUUGAAAUCCUGAAGCUCAAUUAGGAGAUUUCAUCCGAUCUUUUUGGUGAAGAGCAAAGCUGGAGCCAUUUAGAAAGUAAGCUUUGAUUGGAGAGAGCGGAAGCAGGGAAACAACAACAGCAACUGCGUUGUUGCAGAGGUUUUACGAACUUGAUUCUGGUCAGAUCACUUUUGAUGGAGUUGAGAUCAAGACAUUUCAUGUGAUAUGGUUAAGACAACAAACCGGAUUGGUGUGCCGAGAACCUGUUUUGUUCAAUGAAACGAUCCGAGCAAACAUUGCUUAUGGUAAAGGAGGAGAUGUUACUAAAACCGAAAUCGUAUCUGCAGCUGACCUAUCUUACGCUCAUGGCUUCAUCAGUGGCCUACAACAUGUCUAUGAUACAAUGGUGGGUGAAAGAGGAGUUCAAUUAUCAUGUGGGCAAAAAGCAGAGAGUAGCCAUACCAAAGCAAUUGUUAAAGAUCCUAAGGUGUUGCUACUUGAUGAAGCCACGAGUGCUCUAGACGUCGAGUCAGAGCGUGUGGUUCAGGAUGCAUUGGACCGGGUUAUGGUUAACCAAACCACCGUACAUGGUGGUGGCACAUCGGUUAUCGACUACCAAGAAUACUGAUGUAAUUGCGGUGGUUAAGAAUGGAGUCAUAGUGGAGAGAGGAAAGCAUGAGACUUUAAUUAAUAUCAAAGAUGGUGUUUAUGUUUCUUUUUUUUUUUUUUUUCACAAGAGUGUCUUUAUUGUAUUAAGUCAAGUAAACUGGCCAAAAUUACAGUCAAAAAACUAAAAACGAAAGUUCAACUACAAACAAGUCUAGAAUGCAAACAAACUAAAAAUGAAAGCCCACAUGCCCAAUUAGAAAACCCUUCUCAGAAGAAAGAAUCUCUAAAACACAGAACACGUGUCACAAGAGAAGCUUCAGGGAGGACACGUGCGAGACGAAGAGGUAGAAGUCUGAAGGUCUCCGGUCACCGGCAACGGAAAGCAUCGCCGGAAAACUUCAUUUCCGGCUGAAAUCACCGACGAACAACAGAAAAAACUCUCGAUCUACGCCAACAGGAAAGGGCGAGUUCCAAUUAGCUGAGAACAGACUCCAUCGAAGCAAAUCUUACUCUUCUUCUUCAGAAAAAACUUUCAAUCUUCAAAGAGGGUAGAUCUAAAAAAAUCCUAAAAAACACAACAACAAAAGGAAAACAAAGAGAUUUAAAAAAAUAAGUAGCCGCCGGAUACAACGCUGCCGUGAAGACCAACGCACGCUGGAAUCUAAGCCGGACAUGACAUCGCCAAAGAGGCCGAUGCAUGCCGGAAGCAUAGCCGGACAUGAAAUCGCCGUGGAGGCCGAUGCAUGCCGGGAACAGAACCGUCCACCACCAUUAGAGAAAACGGUCGAUGACGGAGCCAAAAUCCGAUCCAAUCCCCCACAAAAGGAACCGGUGUUGGACGAAAUGAAACGGUUAACCCACCAGACAACCGUGUCGGAA